rnacentral:rRNA from 1 species
AGACUUUGAUUAUGGCUCAGGGUGAACGCUGGCGGCGCGCCUAACACAUGCAAGUCGAACGAAGAAAGGGUAGCUUGCUACCCGAGUAAGAGUGGCGAACGGGUGAGUAAAGCGUAGGAAUCUGCCCAAAGGACCGGGAUAACUGCUGGAAACGGUAGAUAAGACCGGAUAAGCCCGAGAGGGGAAAGUAUCGAGAGAUAGCCGAAGGAGGGGCCUACGUCCCAUCAGGUAGUUGGAAGUGUAAGAGACUCCCAAGCCGACGACGGGUAGCCGAUGUGAGAGCAUGAUCGGCCACAAGGGCACUGAGACACGGGUCCUACUCCUACGGGAGGCAGCAGUGGGGAAUUUUGGACAAUGGACGGAAGUCUGAUCCAGCGACGCCGCGUGAAGGAAGAAGUCCUUCGGGAUGUAAACUUCUGAACUUAUCGAAUAAAGACAACUGGGGACAGUUGGAUGAAGGUAGAUAAAGAAAAGCCCCGGCUAACUACGUGCCAGCAGCCGCGGUAAGACGUAGGGGGCGAGCGUUGCCCGGAAUUACUGGGCGUAAAGGGGGGCGUAGGCGGUCAAAUAAGUCAGAUGUGAAAUACUACUGCUCAACGGUAGAAAUGCGUUUUGAAACUGUAA